UUCCUUUAAUUGAUUUGGUGAUGAUGAUC
rnacentral:piRNA from 1 species